UCGGUGGCUGAGCGCCACAGCAAGGCCGGACACACGCACGGUAGCGUUAAUGUGUGGCGGAUAUGCACGCACAGUGCGUGUGUGCAUGCCCACACAUCCAGUACUGUGCGCUGCCGGGUCGUGCUUCCUUCCAUAAGGCCAUGUACUUGUAUGAUAAUUUAGUGGACGCAUUAUAAAAGGAACUUACUUCACUCAGUGUGAAGGAUGGAGAGUACCAACAGAGGAGGAUGCUAGAAAAUGGAGAUGCAUAGACAGUAGGGAAGGAAGAAACUACCUGAAGGCUGACAAUUCAUGGUUGAGGGCAGAUCUAUCGAGGAAACUGCAAAGGAUCUUUUUCUGAGGCCCAAAGAAAGUGAUGAGAUUGCUGGUAGUGUCUUGAUUAUGAUAUGGAUGUUUAAGGCAGAAUUUACCAGACUGAACAUUGGUGACUGCUACAUGGGUGUCUACAUCAGGGCGAGUCAUCCCAUACUCAUUUCAUAGUCUUUGGAGGGCUUGUCAAUAUGUCCAUGGAUGCAAUUUACAAACCCUUUAUUCCUUAAAUAAUAAUGAUUUGUGAUAGAGUCUAAAAUGAUCUGUAAAGGAACUUAAAAAUCCAUGUGAACUUUGGCUCUAGAUUCUGUCAGCAAGCAAGGUCCUAUUUGAAUUAUUCUUCUUGGAUAUUUGUUAUUUAAGGAAAAUCCCAGUGUAAUGGCAUUUGCCUUCAUAGAGUUUAUGGUCAAAACAAACUCCAUCACUCUUCUGUUUCAGCCUUCUAUGUCAUACCAUACAGAGAAUUUAAUCUAGUUAAUUUUGCAUUGAUUCUGAUAACCUGUGUUUGACUAAAGUAUUUCUCAGUAAUGUAACUAAAAUAAAUACA